rnacentral:rRNA from 1 species
UACGAAGGGGGCUAGCGUUGUUCGGAUUUACUGGGCGUAAAGCGCACGUAGGCGGAUCGUUAAGUCGGGGGUGAAAUCCUGGAGCUCAACUCCAGAACUGCCUUCGAUACUGGCGAGCUUGAGUUCGGGAGAGGUGAGUGGAACUGCGAGUGUAGAGGUGAAAUUCGUAGAUAUUCGCAAGAACACCAGUGGCGAAGGCGGCUCACUGGCCCGAUACUGACGCUGAGGUGCGAAAGCGUGGGGAGCAAACAGG